GACCAGACUCCUACGGGAGGCAGCAGUGAGGAAUAUUGGUCAAUGGGCGCGAGCCUGAACCAGCCAAGUCGCGUGAGGGAUGACGGUCCUACGGAUUGUAAACCUCUUUUGCCGGGGAGCAAGCGUGCGUUCGUGAACGCGCGUCGAGAGUACCCGGAGAAAAAGCAUCGGCUAACUCCGUGCCAGCAGCCGCGGUAAUACGGAGGAUGCGAGCGUUAUCCGGAUUUAUUGGGUUUAAAGGGUGCGUAGGCGGCCUUUUAAGUCAGCGGUGAAAGUCUGUGGCUCAACCAUAGAAUUGCCGUUGAAACUGGGGGGCUUGAGUAUGUUUGAGGCAGGCGGAAUGCGUGGUGUAGCGGUGAAAUGCAUAGAUAUCACGCAGAACUCCGAUUGCGAAGGCAGCAUACCGGCGCUCAACUGACGCUCAUGCACGAAAGCGUGGGUAUCGAACAGGAUUAGAUACCCCUGUA
rnacentral:rRNA from 1 species